rnacentral:rRNA from 1 species
UACGUAGGCAGCAAGCGUUGUUCGGAAUUACUGGGCGUAAAGAGUGUGUAGGCGGUGUUCUAAGUUUGUCGUGAAAUCUCCCGGCUUAACUGGGAGGGUGCGGCGAAAACUGGAAUGCUAGAGGAUGGGAGAGGUAAGCGGAAUUCCUGGUGUAGCGGUGAAAUGCGUAGAUAUCAGGAGGAACACCUGCGGUGUAGACGGCUUUCUGGACCAUUGUUGACGCUGAGACACGAAAGCGUGGGUAGCAAACAGG